GCAAUAUUAUGAGGAAGUUUGUUUGCCUCUGCACAAAGGAGAAACUGAUCCACCUAAACUGUAGAACUAGGAGUUUAGUAUCUUUCACAAUCAGGUCCUGGAAAGAAGAGACGUCGUGGAACCAGUACAUAAUGCAUGGAUUGUAGCCUCUACCGAAAGAGUAUGAGAACCCGCAGACAAAGCCAGAUACAGACCAAAGAAAACGGCAUGUGCUUCUGCGAUAU
rnacentral:misc_RNA from 1 species